rnacentral:rRNA from 1 species
AACGAACGCUGGCGGCAUGCCUAACACAUGCAAGUCGAACGAGACCUUCGGGUCUGGUGGCGCACGGGUGCGUAACGCGUGGGAACCUGCCCUUAGGUUCGGAAUAACUCCCCGAAAGGGGUGCUAAUACCGGAUAAUGUCUUCGGACCAAAGAUUUAUCGCCUUUGGAUGGGCCCGCGUUGGAUUAGCUAGUUGGUAGGGUAAAAGCCUACCAAGGCGACGAUCCAUAGCUGGUCUGAGAGGAUGAUCAGCCACACUGGGACUGAGACACGGCCCAGACUCCUACGGGAGGCAGCAGUGGGGAAUAUUGGACAAUGGGCGAAAGCCUGAUCCAGCAACGCCGCGUGAGUGAUGAAGGCCUUAGGGUUGUAAAGCUCUUUUACCCGGGAUGAUAAUGACAGUACCGGGAGAAUAAGCUCCGGCUAACUCCGUG